AGAAAUUGUAUGGAGGAGAGUUCACGAGUUCGAGUUAGUCCGACGGUUGAAGGGGUCGCAUAGACGCGGUCUUCAAGUAUGCGUUCGACGGGUUGGGAUGACGCAGCUUGACUGGCAGAUGGAAGUCAACCAUUUCUUAGCGUUGACUCAAAUGCUAAAUAUGGGCAUCGUCGACGAUAAGAAGCAGAGGCCGCGGCGGCCGGCGUGUCAAUGACGUCGCCGUAUUCAAUACCAUUGGAAUUGAAUCUUGGCCGUAUUCAACUGUUCGCCUCAUCGACGCCGAGGAGCUCCGGUCGCCGGCGCGGAGGCUAGCGAUCACUUCAUAUGGCAUCUCCCUUCCCUCCGCCAUACUCACUCGGAAACUCCCAAACCUGCCUUCUUUAAUUCACCAGGCAACGAAAUCUAUGAAGGCGCAAUCAGUCAGAUCCCUCAUCUUCUAUCACUUUGAGAAAGUUUUUGGAUAAUUGCAAAUGCUUCGAUAUAUAGUUAAAGCUUUGAAACUCUCACGCAUUUUAUCAUCACCUAAGAAGAAGCAAAAAACAUCCUUUUGUUUUCCAUACAUUUUACUCUUUAUAUUCUUGUAUUUAGAAUCAACACACUAACUAUAGUCUUCAGAAUUGUUCUUUUCUCAUGUUUUUAACAGGCAGGAUUAUAAACUCCUGAUAGCAAUUGCAUUAUGAUGCAUGCUUAAAUUUGGUUAUGACAGACUGUUGAAUACUGCAAUGACUGAGAGAACAUCUGCUACAGGAGUUUCUGCUUUAUGAAUUACAGAGUUUUGCUCCACAUUUUCAUGAAUCUGUUCGUGAACUCUUCAUCUGAGAUUACGUUGACGUAGUUCUUCAGGAUUGCAAGUGCUCUGCAAAUCUAGCACAGCUGCUUACGUUGAUGUAGUUCUUCAGGAUUGCAAGUGGUCUGCAAAUCUAGCAUAGCUGCUGAACACUGUUGUUUCUGUUUAAUUAAAUCGCAUGCUUAGCCUUCUCAGGAAAAUAUAGUGGGUUUAGACAAGAUGCAUGGGGCUUCAAGUUGCUGCUGCAAUCAAAGAGAGAUGAAUUAUUUCUAUAUGUAACGUGUCUGUAGGAAAGUUUUACUCAGUGGAUGCCUGACAGCAAGGAUGGGCAUGAAAUGACCCUCCAAAAUGAUUGGAUUCCAUUGCAGUCCUUUUCCUGUCAAUUUUUUCUGCCAAAAGAAUCCAGUAAGUGCCGUCCAUGCAUACCGAAAACGACUCUCCAACCAACACCUAGCUAGCUGCUCGGCUUCUUUGGUGGGUAACAGUCCAAUCCCAAUCCCAAUCCCUCUAAGCAAAUAUGAUCACUGCAUUCUGCAGAUGACAGUGAAACGCCCUUCUUUGCCUUUGUUUUUCCUCGCCUAACGUGGUUGAAAAGCAAGGCAGUAGUAGUGCAACACUCGAGUGUGUGUGUCUUCGUGGAUCUGGGGGUCCUUCCUCUGUCUAAACCAUCACCAAGUUAAUUUCUUGUUAGCAUCUGGCAAUCCUCCAUUAAUGGAGGCAAUCUGCAGGCAUCAGGACAGGCUAUUUCACUUCCGAAAGCGACUGCCUCAGUGCAGAUGGAAUCAUCAGCUUAAAUUAAUAUUAUGGAAAAACCAUUUGUUUGCUAGCUCGCACUAAUCAUAGAUGUUAGCUAUUGGUUGCAUAAUUAAUAGCUAAUUGGCCAUUGACAUCACAUAAGCACUGACUAAUUGGCCCCAUUGCUAUGAUUCUGCUCCAAUUUUUAAAAUAAGAGAGGGAUGAUGAAGGAGAAAGCUUCUUUCUCCAUGUAAAAUGAACACUUUGGAGAAACUCAGGGAGACAGGAGUCUAGUUGCAAUGUCAUGUCCAUCUGGAAGCCAUCACAAGCAGGAUAAUCAGUUGUAUUCAAACAGUGACAGCUUCAUGGCACAUCUUUUGUGGAAACUGGCCGGUUUUGUCCUGCACACCAGCUGAUCCCCACAUGGGGAGGUUCCCUUUGCUCUCCCCCUCCCAUUUUACAGUUGGAUGUUUCACUACACGAACUGCUUGCUCCUCGGAAUCACUACAGCUGAGCCUUUGUUCAUAAUUCACUGCUGUUUGAUUACUGUACAGGACAGGCACUGACAUUGUCACAUGGAAAUCUGAUCAAUGGCGUUGGCUUUGGCUUUGGCUUUGGCUUUGGUGGGCCUGGAGUUGCAGUUAAAUCAUAACAUUUUGGAGCAGCAUGAGGCACACUGUUGAAGUCCACUGCCUUGGUUAAUAAUGAAAUUCCCACUAGGAAAAGAAUACCACGGACGGACCCUCCACUCCAUGUCAUUGCCCGAGGGCAAGUCGCAAAGAAGGCUUUUGAGACUGCUCAGUUUAACUUUUUUGCUUUUCUGUAUCAAUCAGUAAAUGAAGGGAGGAGGGACAGGAAAAGCAGGAUUGGGAAUGAAGCUAGUAAAGCCAGUAGUAAAAAGUCAUUUAAAGCGGGAAUGAGGGAGAGAAUCCAAUCAUUCAGACAUUUUGACUGCAAGACUGUUUUUUUUUUUUUUGGUAUUAUCUUGCUAUUCAUUCAUUUUUCUAUGA